rnacentral:rRNA from 1 species
AUGCAUGUAUGCAACCAAGCGUCAGGUGAAAAUUGCAUCUCGAUGAUAAGAUCCUUAAUGCAGGCAACUAAUCAACUGGUUAUCUCCGUUUUUGGCUCUGUUUUGGCUUAUUCAGGCCCUGCUCAGCCUGGCUCGUUUUUUCCUCUGAGCCGGGUCCGGCGGCGAAAGCAACCAAACACGCCCCAUAUGUACGUGAACCUUUCACUCUUUUCUCCAUCCAACUCGCUCCCUCCCAUCUUCCUCCCUCUCCCCGCAGCAUCAAAAGCAGCAAGCAAGCAAGCGCACCACGAAGAUAAUCUCUGA